rnacentral:rRNA from 1 species
GAUGAACGCUGGCGGCGUGCCUAAUACAUGCAAGUCGAGCGAACAGACGAGGAGCUUUCUCCUCUGACGUUAGCGGCGGACGGGUGAGUAACACGUGGAUAACCUACCUAUAAGACUGGGAUAACUUCGGGAAACCGGAGCUAAUACCGGAUAAUAUAUUGAACCGCAUGGUUCAAUAGUGAAAGACGGUUUUGCUGUCACUUAUAGAUGGAUCCGCGCCGCAUUAGCUAGUUGGUAAGGUAACGGCUUACCAAGGCGACGAUGCGUAGCCGACCUGAGAGGGUGAUCGGCCACACUGGAACUGAGACACGGUCCAGACUCCUACGGGAGGCAGCAGUAGGGAAUCUUCCGCAAUGGGCGAAAGCCUGACGGAGCAACGCCGCGUGAGUGAUGAAGGUCUUCGGAUCGUAAAACUCUGUUAUUAGGGAAGAACAAAUGUGUAAGUAACUAUGCACGUCUUGACGGUACCUAAUCAGAAAGCCACGGCUAACUACGUG